rnacentral:rRNA from 1 species
UGGGGAAUUUUGGACAAUGGGCGCAAGCCUGAUCCAGCCAUGCCGCGUGUCUGAAGAAGGCCUUCGGGUUGUAAAGGACUUUUGUCAGGGAAGAAAAGGCUGUUGCUAAUAUCAGCGGCUGAUGACGGUACCUGAAGAAUAAGCACCGGCUAACUACGUGCCAGCAGCCGCGGUAAUACGUAGGGUGCGAGCGUUAAUCGGAAUUACUGGGCGUAAAGCGAGCGCAGACGGUUACUUAAGCAGGAUGUGAAAUCCCCGGGCUCAACCUGGGAACUGCGUUCUGAACUGGGUGACUAGAGUGUGUCAGAGGGAGGUAGAAUUCCACGUGUAGCAGUGAAAUGCGUAGAGAUGUGGAGGAAUACUGAUGGCGAAGGCAGCCUCCUGGGAUAACACUGACGUUCAUGCUCGAAAGCGUGGGUAGCAAACAGGAUUAGAUACCCUGGUAGUCCACGCCCUAAACGAUGUCAAUUAGCUGUUGGGCAACUUGAUUGUUCAGUAGCGUAGCUAACGCGUGAAAUUGACCGCCUGGGGAGUACGGUCGCAAGAUUA